UGUGCAUGCAUCCAGAGGUUACCACGCGAGACUGAGUAAAUACAGGUGGAUAUUAAUCAGUUCGAUGACUCAAAUACUUCUUGCCAUCAACGGACAACUCGAAACGAAACGAAACAUACUACAGUACGUGAUCUGGAGCUUGACUUCACCUGUUUUGUGGUGAUUAACAAAUUGUGCGGUGCCCAAAGAUAGGAAUACCAGUAAAUUUUGACCUCGUGGGGACAUUUGUGAGGUCCCCAUGAGGAACCAAGCUUAUAAAUCAAACGGAAUGAUGUUUCUUGAAAAUCUAAGGUCGCAGAAAGUUUUCUGUGAUGGUUGGGAUUAGGGUUUGGGGAAGGGAAUAGAAUAUACAGUUUGUACAGUAUAAAAUGCAUUACGUCUAUGGAAUGUCCCCACAAAAGAUGGAAACCAGAAUGUGUGUGCGUGCCAUGGAACAAAUAUUUAUUUUUAUAGCUUUUUGUGUGUUCUGUUUUUGACUUUCCCCCUGAUAUCAAGACACCAAAAUAAUCUUUUAAUACGCAUUUUCAUGUGUUUGUAAAGAAAAUAAAGUGUACUUCACUGUU